AGGCUUUUUUAGUUCAUAAGGGGAAUUGGGUUUUCACAAUUCUGUGUGAUAUGCCUCUUUGAAAUCUUGUUACCUUGUCAGCAUUUUAUUCAUCUGACA